rnacentral:misc_RNA from 1 species
GAUGAAGAACGUAGCGAAAUGCGAUAAGUAAUGUGAAUUGCAGAAUUCAGUGAAUCAUCGAAUCUUUGAACGCACAUUGCGCCCCUUGGUAUUCCGAGGGGCAUGCCUGUUCGAGCGUCAUAUUAACCACUCCCGCUUGCGGGGUCUUGGGCUUCGCCUCCGGGCGGGCCUUAAAAUCAGUGGCGGUGCCGUCGGGCUCUACGCGUAGUAAAUUUUCUCGCGAUAGGGUCCCGGUGGAUGCUUGCCAACAACCCCCAACUUCUUAAGGUUGACCUCGGAUCAGGUAGGGAUACCCGCUGAACUUAAGCAUAUCAAUAAGCGGAGGA